GUUUGAUCUCAAAUCAGGUAGGACUACCCGCUGAACUUAAGCAUAUC
rnacentral:rRNA from 1 species